AUGGCCCCCAAGCGCGCCGCGAAGAAGCCGGCGCCCCCGCCACCGCCUCCGGCUGCCUCCUCCGAGGAGGAGGACUCCCGCUCGCGCUCCGAGGAGGAGGAGGACGAAGACGCCGAGUCCCCUCCCCCCGCCCCCACCCCGGCCCCCAAGAGCACGCCGGCGCCCCCGCAGGAGGGAGAGGAGGAGGAGGAGGAGGAGUCUGAAGAGGAAGACGAGGAGGAGGAGUCUGAUGAGGAGCCCGCCCGCGCGUCCCCGGCCCCCGCCGCCACCCCCAAGAACAAGCCUCCGCCGCCGCAACAGGGAGGUGACUCCGACUCUUCCGACGAGGAGGAGGAAGAGGAGCCCACCAAGACGGCCCCUCGCUCCGCUCCCAAGAAGCAGCCCCCACCGCCCCCGCCGCGGCAGGGCGAGGAAUCGGACGCCUCCGACGAGGAAGAAGAGGAGGGUGAGUCCGAGGAGGAGGCGCCGCCGCCGCCGAAGCUUGCUCCAAAGCAGGCGCCAGAGGGCCGGAAGCCCCAGGCAGCGGCCGAGACCAAGAAGCCUGCCGCUUUCAGCCGCAUCUGGUCCACCGACGACGAGGUGCGUAUCCUCGAGGCCCUCGCGGAUCACCAAAAGCAGCACGGCACGCUGCCGCAGCCCGACGCCCUCGUCGACGCCCUUGCAGGGAAGCUCGACAACCGGGCCUACGGCAGCAAGGAGCUCCAGGGGAAGGUCCUGGCCCUCAGGCGUCGGUACCUCGCGCUCAGCAAGAAGGGCGAGCUCCCGAGCAAGGAGCAUGACCGCCGGGUGCUGGAACUUUCCAAGAUGGUCUGGGAAGGCGGCGACAUGGUCACCGCCGCAGCUGCCUCUGCCAAGUCUGCGAAGGCGGCAAAUGGCCAGGAGCCAAAGGGGUUCGAGGAGAUGUGCGAUCUGUAUCCGUACCUAGCGGAGCAUGUGAAGGAGCUGGAUGCGGCGAACCCGGGCAUUUUCAAGAGGCAGUUCGGGAUGAUGGACGAGGAUAAGGCGCGCGCCAUGGACGAGAAGAUCAAGAGGCAGCGGGUGGCGCAGAUGAAGGUGGAGCUGCGCCGCCAUGACCUGGUAAGGGAGGUGACCAAGGCCAUCAUCGACUUGGUCGACUGA
rnacentral:rRNA from 1 species